rnacentral:sRNA from 1 species
UUUCUUCUUUUGUUUUUUGUUUG